AUACCCCAAUGGGACCCAGAGCAAUAGCACAAGAUGGCCGGUCUUCAGAAGCAAUGAACAAAAGUACCUAACCUUGAACACAGAGUCGUCAAGAAUACACACUAAGCUCCGUGCCCAACAGUGCCGAUUCUGGACACUGUUUUUUCCAAAAGUCUUGGAAUUGACAGGAAAUAUUGAUGAAGCGGAACAAGAGUGGAAAGCAGGAUUCUAUCGUUGGAGCAAUUACAUGAUGGACUGGAAAAAUCAAUUUAACGAUUACACUAGCAAGAAAGAGAGCUGUAUGGGUCUCUAAUUAAUAGAAUUGCCCUUUAUAGAAUGUUCAUUUUCCUGUAGAAGAAGGCAAAAUACAAGUAGCUCUCUCCACACAUAUGAAGAAAGUUGAAACAGAAAUGCCAGACAAGAUCGAUUCCUCACAUGAGUUCAUUUAGUAUUUUACCUAGCAUUUCAGAAACCAAAUGGCUAGAACACAUUUCAUUAAUUUUCAGAAUAUAAAGCUUGACAGUUAAUUACAUGUGUAAUAAUAUGAUUUGCUGUUUUGAUAUUGCUUCCCUGAAUAACUUUAGGACUUUUUCCCUAAAAGGUAUAGACUCUAUUUUUAUUUGCGUGUGUGUAUUUUCAUUACCACUCGCAUAAAAUAUCUUUUAAAUUUUAAUCAAAUUUAGAACAUGGGAUAUUAUAAUUUAUUGAUUCCUACAAUUAAUUUAUAAAUUUGAUGUCAACCUUGGAUAUUAAAGCAAACCCAAAAAUC